GACGAACGCUGGCGGCGUGCUUAACACAUGCAAGUCGAACGGAAAGGCCCUGCUUUUGUGGGGUGCUCGAGUGGCGAACGGGUGAGUAACACGUGAGUAACCUGCCCUUGACUUUGGGAUAACUUCAGGAAACUGGGGCUAAUACCGGAUAGGAGCUCCUGCUGCAUGGUGGGGGUUGGAAAGUUUCGGCGGUUGGGGAUGGACUCGCGGCUUAUCAGCUUGUUGGUGGGGUAGUGGCUUACCAAGGCUUUGACGGGUAGCCGGCCUGAGAGGGUGACCGGCCACAUUGGGCCUGAGAUACGGCCCAGACGCCUACGGGAGGCAGCAGUGGGGAAUAUUGCACAAUGGGCGGAAGCCUGAUGCAGCAACGCCGCGUGCGGGAUGACGGCCUUCGGGUUGUAAACCGCUUUCGCCUGUGACGAAGCGUGAGUGACGGUAAUGGGUAAAGAAGCAACGGCUAACUACGUG
rnacentral:rRNA from 1 species